GAUGAACGCUGGCGGCGUGCUUAACACAUGCAAGUCGAACGAUGAAGCCCAGCUUGCUGGGUGGAUUAGUGGCGAACGGGUGAGUAACACGUGAGUAACCUGCCCUUAACUCUGGGAUAAGCCUGGGAAACUGGGUCUAAUACCGGAUAGGAGCGUCCACCGCAUGGUGGGUGUUGGAAAGAUUUAUCGGUUUUGGAUGGACUCGCGGCCUAUCAGCUUGUUGGUGGGGUAAUGGCUCACCAAGGCGACGACGGGUAGCCGGCCUGAGAGGGUGACCGGCCACACUGGGACUGAGAGAGGGCCCAGACUGCUACGGGAGGCAGCAGUGGGGAAUAUUGCACAAUGGGCGCAAGCCUGAUGCAGCGACGCCGCGUGAGGGAUGACGGCCUUCGGGUUGUAAACCUCUUUCAGUAGGGAAGAAGCGAAAGUGACGGUACCUGCAGAAGAAGCACCGGCUAACUACGUG
rnacentral:rRNA from 1 species